AAGGGCAAUAGAAUUAUGAAAGAAAAUUAGUUAUAGAAUUACACAUUACGUGAUGUUAUGUUAAAAACGGUGUGAGCUUUAAACGAAUUGGAUCUGCUAUAUAUAAUAAUGUGCGAAAAUUGUAUAACUAUACCUUGGGAGACGAAAGCAAAGAGGAAAAUGAGGCAAAUGAAUUUGCAUGCAUUUGUUGUCAUGGUUUGAUGUUUGGAUAUAUAUAUUUAUCAGAGAAUAUAUAUAACUUAGUAAGUAUGAGAAUGGGGAUGAUAAAUUGUGAUGUUAGUGUUAUUUAUAGGGAGGUAUUGGGUUUAUUUUAUAGAAUAAAAUAUCUUUUAUGAUUAAAAAUUAUAAUUUGCUAUUUCUGUAACGCUAUUUUUUAUUUUGACUUUGAGUUGACUAAAUUUAGUAAAAAUUAAUUUACAAUAAUUAAUUUUGACUAUGCUAUAUUUACAUUUUCUUAAUGAAUAGAUAUGUAUAUUAAAUAUUUUUAUAUUUCUAUUAUUACAUUUUAGUGUUAUAUUUGAUUAUAUUAAUUUAAUUACAAUCAAUUAGUUAUUAGCAUAUUUCAAAAAUCUUAUCUUAAAUACAAAAUUACAAAAAUGUAUAUAUAUAUGUCAUAAUUAAUUUUAAACAAUGUCAUAUUUAUUAGUAAGUCAUGCUUUUAUUGAGAAUGAAUACAAUGACGAUGCAAUCAAAUUUUUUAUAAAUUAUUUGGUAAAUAAUAUCUAGAAGAAAUUUUGGUAUAAUUAUAACUAAUGUUGACCAAAUAAAGAAGUAGGUAACAGUUAUUUUAUUCUUUUUGAAAGAAUGUUAAAUUAUUCAAAUAAAAAAAACUUUUUAUAAAGGAUGUGUUCUUUGAUCUACUUAGCAAGUUGCAAUCAACAUGGUUUACAAAAUAGUAGGGUAACGGUUAUUCAACUGCUAUUAAAUUGUUCUUGCAUGCAAAUUAAUUAGAGUCAAAGCUAAUUAAUUUAUUAGAAAAAUGGAAUUUAAGAUACUGGGCAUGCAAAUAAGAUCGAAUUAAAAAGAAGAAAAUAACGCAUUCAUCUCAAAAUUUUAAAUAUGAUAUUCCCUCUGUUUUAUAAAAAAUAAUAUUUUGACACUUUUUUAUUAUAAAAGUUUCAUGUUAGAAUUUUAAUGUAAGCGUUUUACAAUAAUACCAGUUUUAACUUUCAAUCAAAUUUGAAUAUAUUUAAUACUACAAUGACUAUUGAUUAAAUCAAAUACAAUUAAUUAAGAUUAUUAUAUAAAACAUAAUUAAUUAGGAUAUAAGCAUAAACAAACACAUAAUUAAUUGCAGGCUUGGUUCGUGUGGAAACAGUUUGUAACAAUAGCUAGUGGUCCCUUUAAAGCACCCAAUGAAACAAAAGGAAUAUCAGAUGAUAGAAACGCUUUUCCACCAACUGUAAGAUGUUCACUCGUGCUAGCUCUGGUGACGUCGGUUACUUUAGUAACAUUUAUGUUACUAUGUAUGCAACUCGAAAGGUUUCACAAAAAGAUGCCCACAUCAAUAUCUUGGGAAAAUGAAAAGUCAUUUGCUUGAGACGCAAGAAACCUAAUAACCUUGUUGACUGACAUACAUGAAUCAGAAAGUAGUAAUAGCAAAAGAAAUUAAUGGAUGCAACAUAGUUUGACCCUGGAGCUGACGGGUCUAAUUAACGUGCUUACUGUUUUCUAUUGCAUCAUCCAGGGGGAAAACUAUGUAUGUACGCUCAGUAGCGGCCCUGAGUUUUGGUAGGCCAAAAGCAACAUUUAAGUUUUUGGGCCACUAAAUGUUACAUUAAUAAAAAGAAUAGAAAGUGUUGGCCGGUUGGUCAAACUUUGCACCUGUUACUUAAACUAACUAACCUCUAUCCAGUCGAACUGAAGUGGUUUACAACAUUUUUUUGGGCUGAAAUGUUUGUGAUAGAAUUAAAGGCCGGAAGCACAUGCUUCCUUGAUUUUUUGCCAGGGCCGGCACUGUGUACGCUGACAAAUUUAUCAACAUAGAUGAAAGUAGGCUUAGAUAGACACAUGCAUCUGGAACCAAAGAAUGUACUAAACCAAAAUAACAAAAAUAACCAAAAUUAAACUAAAUUUCAUAAACAACUAUGUAUAUAUGUGGGUAAUUGAUCAUCUGAUAUAUUUUAAAUUGGGAAUUUAAUGAAAUAAACCCUCAACUAUAAA